UACGUAGGGUGCGAGCGUUAAUCGGAAUUACUGGGCGUAAAGCGUGCGCAGGCGGUUUUGUAAGCCAGAUGUGAAAGCCCCCGGGCUCAACCUGGGAAUUGCGAUGGAGACUGCAAGGCUUGAAUCUGGCAGAGGGGGGGUAGAAUUCCACGUGUAGCAGUGAAAUGCGCAGAUAUCGGGAGGAACACCAAUGGCGAAGGCAGCUCGCUGGGACGGUACUGACGCUGAGGCGCGAAAGCGUGGGGAGCAAACAGG
rnacentral:rRNA from 1 species